rnacentral:pre_miRNA from 7 species
UACUUGGAGACUAGCUCCCUGUAGGCCAAGCUGGCCUUGAACUCACAUUGAAAGACCCCCGAAGGGAGACCCUCACUCAGACACUCAAGUCCCGGGACAGCCGCGUACCCAAGAAGACACUGAGACCA